rnacentral:rRNA from 1 species
GAUGAACGCUGGCGGCGUGCCUAAUACAUGCAAGUCGAGCGAACGGACGAGAAGCUUGCUUCUCUGAUGUUAGCGGCGGACGGGUGAGUAACACGUGGAUAACCUACCUAUAAGACUGGGAUAACUUCGGGAAACCGUAGCUAAUACCGGAUAAUAUUUUGAACCGCAUGGUUCAAAAGUGAAAGACGGUCUUGCUGUCACUUAUAGAUGGAUCCGCGCUGCAUUAGCUAGUUGGGAAGGUAACGGCUUACCAAGGCAACGAUGCAUAGCCGACCUGAGAGGGUGAUCGGCCACACUGGAACUGAGCCACGGUCCAGACUCCUACGGGAGGCAGCAGUAGGGAAUCUUCCGCAAUGGGCGAAAGCCUGACGGAGCAACGCCGCGUGAGUGAUGAAGGUCUUCGGAUCGUAAAACUCUGUUAUUAGGGAAGAACAUAUGUGUAAGUAACUGUGCACAUCUUGACGGUACCUAAUCAGAAAGCCACGGCUAACUACGUG